UGUCGCGGCAGCUGUGCGCGGGAUACCUUCGGGUAUGCCGGAAUCACUGGUUUCCGGUCGGUCAACCCGCGUACAGCUGCCACCCUA
rnacentral:antisense_RNA from 2 species